rnacentral:rRNA from 1 species
CCUACGGGCGGCAGCAGUGAGGAAUAUUGGUCAAUGGACGAGAGUCUGAACCAGCCAAGUAGCGUGAAGGAUGACUGCCCUGUGGAUUGUAAACUUCUUUUGUCAGGGAAUAAACCGGGGCACGUGUGCCUUUUUGCGUGUACUUUAUGAAUAAGGAUCGGCUAACUCCGUGCCAGCAGCCGCGGUAAUACGGAGGAUCCGAGCGUUAUCCGGAUUUAUUGGGUUUAAAGGGAGCGUAGAUGGGUUGUUAAGUCAGUUGUGAAAGUUUGCGGCUCAACCGUAAAAUUGCAAUUGAAACUGGCAGGCUGGAGUAGAGUAGAGGUAGGCGGAAUGCGUGGUGUAGCGGUGAAAUGCUUAGAUAUCACGAAGAACCCCGAUUGCGAAGGCAGCUUACCAAACUGUGACUGACACUGAUGCUCGAAAGUGUGGGUAUCAAACAGGAUUAGAUACCCCAGUAGUC